CAAUGCAGGGCGUAUGUUGGUUCCUGUCCCAGACAGGCGAAGAGGGAACGCGAUACGCAUUGAUCCAGCCUUGGGUCAGCGCCAAGCGCAGCCGCCCCCGCGACCGUGACCGGAGAGAGCUUUCAACCACUGGCCCGCAGGCUGGGAAGGUGAAGGUUCGCAAGGCAAGCUGCCUUAGAUCCGCAAGCCGGGAGACCUGCCAGCAUAGUUUGUAACGGG
rnacentral:ncRNA from 20 species